rnacentral:rRNA from 1 species
CCUACGGGAGGCAGCAGUGGGGAAUAUUGGACAAUGGGCGAAAGCCUGAUCCAGCAAUUCCGCGUGUGUGAAGAAGGCCUUCGGGUUGUAAAGCACUUUAGUGGGGGAAGAAACAGCUUGGCCACACCAAGCCUUGACGGUACCCCAAGAAUAAGCACCGGCUAACUCUGUGCCAGCAGCCGCGGUAAUACAGAGGGUGCAAGCGUUAAUCGGAUUUACUGGGCGUAAAGGGUGCGUAGGUGGCUAUUUAAGUCGGAUGUGAAAGCCCGGGGCUCAACCUCGGAAUUGCAUUCGAUACUGAGUGGCUAGAGUUCGGUAGAGGGCGGCGGAAUUUCCGGUGUAGCGGUGAAAUGCGUAGAUAUCGGAAGGAACAUCAAUGGCGAAGGCAGCCGCCUGGGCCUGGACUGACACUGAGGCACGAAAGCGUGGGUAGCAAACAGGAUUAGAUACCCUGGUAGUCCACGCCGUAAACGAUGAGAACUUGACGUUGGUUCGUUUUACGAAUCGGUGUCGCNGCUACGCGAUAGUUACUCCGUCCGUCGGGAGGUACGGCCGGCGAGGUUAGUAACGUACAAUAGAAGUUAGUACGGCGUGAGACGUGCCGACGGACGACGACGAGGGAGGUUAGG